rnacentral:rRNA from 1 species
UGACGAGUGGCGGACGGGUGAGUAAUGUCUGGGAAACCGCCUGAUGGAGGGGGAUAACUACUGGAAACGGUAGCUAAUACCGCAUAACGUCGAAAGACCAAAGGGGGGGACCUUCGGGCCUCUUGCCAUCGGAUGUGCCCAGAUGGGAUUAGCUUGUUGGUGGGGUAAUGGCUCACCAAGGCGACGAUCCCUAGCUGGUCUGAGAGGAUGACCAGCCACACUGGAACUGAGACACGGUCCAGACUCCUACGGGAGGCAGCAUG